rnacentral:lncRNA from 1 species
UUUCUCAGUUCGGCUCGCUCUACUCAAUGGGGUAAUUGUUGUCACAAAUGUGAAACUAGUAGAAGGUAAAAAUUGGAAUUCACUCUUUUUGGAAAAAGGGAAGAAUGGAAAAGAGGGGCUAUAAGCCUCGAAGUCACAAAAACCAGUCAACAACUGCACAAUCCACAGCCAGCGAUUCCAAUCAUAAACAUGGAUUUUCUAAGGGCCAGCGUGAGGUGGAAACCACUCCCACCCCGUGUUUAAGGGAACAAACAGCACACAAGGAAGGGGCCCGUGGGAGAACCGGUAGCAGCAGAAAGGGAGCUGUAGGCCAUCAUGACACCAGACCAAAGGCUCGUGUCCCCCUCCAACUCAACUGGAUCCAAACAUUAGAGCCAAAAAACACAUGACAUGACGCUUCAAAAAAGAAGGAAAAACCGGGAGACAAGGAGCAUGACUCACUCGAGUGGACUGGAAUAUGUUAAGAUGCGCCGAAAGGUUGACCGGUGGAAUUAGAUACAGCUUUAGCUUCACUAAUUUUUUGUUAUCAGCAGCUCUCCACAUGUUGAGGUUUUAUCCGCUGAAGAAAAAAGUCUGAAGUUUCUGCGGAAUCACUCGUAUACAUGUUAUUUAUAGGAAAAAGUGGAAAGAAACUCUUCUCUCCGUUCUUCGUAAGUCGGUUCAAUCCAUGUCUUCAGCAAUGACUUCAGGACCUGAAAUCUUUCGCGUAACGCAUCAUUUCAUGAGAAUAAACCUAAGGGUUAAUUAGAUGAUGCAACCAAUGCGACAGAAAGAAAACUUAGAACCAUAAAGUCAUGCACCCAAUGUGACAGAAAGAUUAUGAUUUCCGUAUAGAAGGUUUCAGGUUUCCUGCCCCGUUGCAGUACAGUGUACGCUUAAAACAAUUCAGUCAUUCAUGAAUGAUAUAAUUCAACUUGACGCCAAAAAAAAGAAGAGAAUGAUGCAAUUCAACUAUGAUUGGGCCAUCUGACCAGAUCUCCAACUUUAAUUUUCUUGACACUUCUAAAAUGAUAAAGAGAGGAAACAAUGACCCCCAAAAAAUGUCCCUAUGAUGUGCUCCCUGCAUUAAAAUUAUUAGGAGGCUCACAGGAAAAUUGUGCUGUCUAGUCACACCCUUUCUUGCUAAUCUUGAGGUGGCCACCGCCAUCAUGGUCUGUAGUGCUCACUUGCACCUCCCCAUGGCUUAUAAUAGGCUAUAAGUGUAUUGUAGAUUGUGCUUGAGCUUGAGCUGAGUUAAAGACUGUUUUCAUUGGUCUUAGUACCUAAAGGGCUUGGGCUGAGAGUAAUGGGUAAUGAGAUGGGCAACAACAACGUUAUCGGUCAACAAGGUAUGCAUGUUGCUAAAUACUAUCUGCUUUCUAGGAAUGAGCAUGAAUAUUUUGCUAACCAUCUUCUUAUGUAAUUCUAGUACCAGAGGAGAGUGCUAAGGAUUUCGACAAAACCAUGGCCAACGCAGAUUAUUCACAUGAGCUCAAUAACAUAAAUGGUGAGAAAGGUACUGCCUCUGUUUCACAAUAUUUGUCCUGCACGAACACCUAGGAGGCACAAAUUCAACGAAUAUUUGAUGGAAUCAUGUCAAACUUGCUCUUACUAGAAACUCACCACUACAAAGCUAUGAUCGCUGAUUCAUUGUUCUGUUUAUGUUAGAUACGGAAAAGGAUGGCACUAAGGAUGUAGAUAUGUCGGAGGUAUUAAAGGUCCCUCUCAUCUCUAGUGGUGGAGAUAAGCAAAUGGCUUCAGAUCAAACAAAAUUGUCCGCUGCGAAUGAAGACUUAGAUGAGAAGAAUAGGGGCUCACCUCAGGAUCACACAUCAACAGAAGAUGAUGAUGGGAAUAAAAACUUACCUACAGAACAAGGUUAGUUCAGCCGACUGAUAUUGUACAUACUAUAAUUUUAUUUUUGUAUUGUAAAGCGUAUUAUGCGAAUGGUUUAAUACGAAAAGUUUGGAAAUGGUGAUUUCCAUAUGAGGUAGUAAGAAAAUUCUAGAGAUUUAAUAGGCAUUUUUUUUAUACAAGUUAACUUCUAGUUAGAAUUCAGUGCAAUGUAAUCUGGAGUUCAAUAACCACUCUAAUGCUAUUAUGUUUAUGUUAGAUAAGGAGAAGGAUGGCACUAAGGAUGUCGAUAUGUCAGAGGUGUUAAAGGCCCCUGCCAUUUUUAAUGGUGGAGAUGAUCAAAUGGCUUCAGAUCAAAGAAAAAUCUCUGCUGCAAAUGAAGACUUAGAUGAGAAGAACAGGGGCGCACUUGAGGAUCAUACAUCAACACAAGAUGAUGAUGGAAACAGUAACUUACCUACAGAACAAGGUUAGUUCAGCUGGCUGAUACGGUCCGUACCUAGUUUGUUUUGCUGUCUUUCGUACAAUAGUCCCAUUUUUGUGCUUUAAGCUUCUAUGCACUGGGUCUGUCCUUUAAUAAGCCAUUUAAAACUGGUUUAGUAUGAGAAAUACGCGUGCUUGAGAAAAUUAAUGGUGAUUUCAGGAUGAGAUAGUAAGAAAAAUCUAUGGUUCAAAAGAAUGCUAGUGCUACCUAGCCGUCCACCUAAUGUUUUUUUCGAAAAGAGGGGAAAAUCCUCUGGCUCUGCAUCGAGUGAUGCAUGGCUACCCACCUAAUAAGAAGUACAUUAUGUUUCUAUGAAUAACUAUACUUGAAUUUCAGAAUGUAUAAUUGUCCACUAAAAACAUAGGCAGUUAAGCAUUUAUAGCUUUUACCUUCAGCACUAUAAGCUCGACUAAUAAAAGCAAGUCAUCUGGCACAGGUGAUGAAGCACAGGAGGACAGUGGAACUGAAACAGCCACAAAUU